rnacentral:rRNA from 1 species
AACGCGAAGAACCUUACCUACCCUUGACAUGGAUCGAACCCCAAAGAGAUUUGGGGGUGCUCGCAAGAGAACGGUCACACAGGUGCUGCAUGGCUGUCGUCAGCUCGUGUCGUGAGAUGUUGGGUUAAGUCCCGCAACGAGCGCAACCCUUGUCAUUAAUUGCCAGCAUGUAAUGGUGGGCACUUUAAUGAGACUGCCGGUGACAAACCGGAGGAAGGUGGGGAUGACGUCAAGUCCUCAUGGCCCUUAUGGGUAGGGCUUCACACGUCAUACAAUGGUGCAUACAGAGGGUUGCCAACCCGCGAGGGGGAGCUAAUCUCAGAAAGUGCAUCGUAGUCCGGAUUGUAGUCUGCAACUCGACUGCAUGAAGUUGGAAUCGCUAGUAAUCGCGGAUCAGCAUGUCGCGGUGAAUACGUUCCCGGGCCUUGUACACACCGAGACGAC